GACGAACGCUGGCGGCGUGCUUAACACAUGCAAGUCGAACGGAAAUGCCCUGCUUUUGUGGGGUGCUCGAGUGGCGAACGGGUGAGUAACACGUGAGUAACCUGCCCUUGACUUUGGGAUAACUUCAGGAAACUGGGGCUAAUACCGGAUAGGAGCUCCUGCUGCAUGGUGGGGGUUGGAAAGUUUCGGCGGUUGGGGAUGUACUCGCGGCUUAUCAGCUUGUUGGUGGGGUAGUGGCUUACCAAGGCUUUGACGGGUAGCCGGCCUGAGAGGGUGACCGGCCACAUUGGGACUGAGAUACGGCCCAGACUCCUACGGGAGGCAGCAGUGGGGAAUAUUGCACAAUGGGCGGAAGCCUGAUGCAGCAACGCCGCGUGCGGGAUGACGGCCUGCGGGUUGUAAACCGCUUUCGCCUGUGACGAAGCGUGAGUGACGGUAAUGGGUAAAGAAGCACCGGCUAACUACGUG
rnacentral:rRNA from 1 species